rnacentral:lncRNA from 1 species
GUGGGCUGCGGAAUUCUCGUGGUGUUUGUCGGGGAGCUGCGAUAAUGGCGUCCGUCCUCGCGAGAGAAGCAGCCGCUCUGCGCAGGCGCCGCGAGCGCCUCCCCACGGCCUGCGCCCCGCCCUCAGCGCAGGCUCCCUGGGCUCCCGGCUCGAGGGAGGGGCCGGUAGGCCAGGGGGCGGAGCCUGCUCUGGGCGCCUCUUGCGCGCGCUUUCGCCGACGGACUCCGACGAGCAUGCGCAGUAGUCCUCCCCUGCACCGAGAGUUGACUCGCUGGGCCCUUACUUUCCCCAUCUCACGUCCGUGUUACUUGCUAAAGCAGUAAAUCCUCCAGUGGUCAAUCUGAGGAAUGUACGUCCUCUUUGACGGGUGUGAACAGACACGAACGCUACCCUGUUGACUACAAAUCCCAGAGUACGCUGUGUGUGGCACGAUGCAUCCUGGGACUGGUAGUCUUCGCGGCCGUGAUUUGCCUGCUGGGAUUUGUAGUCCAUCUGGAUUCUGGCAGCCCCAUACCUUCCCUGCCCUGAAGGCUGCUGGGACUUGUAGUGUCAGCAGUUCAAAAGGCCUGUACGCUCCCAAACCCGUCCUACCUACUCUACCUAGGAUCGGUCUCAGAGGUUCCGGACUCGUUCAGUGGCAUCGUCUCGAAAGUUGACUGACUCCUUAUGGGCAAGCAGGUCACGCGGGCACUGUCACUGUGAUAGAGAUUAUAUGUGACAUGCUUACGAAUCAUGCAAUAGGAGCUAUGCAGCAUCGAUGUGAAUUUAUUGCCAGAAAUGCCACUAGUGGCUCUCUGCACCUGGUCUGUCGUCAGUGUUCUUUCCAGGCUGGCCCCUUCUGCAUGUUCGCAGUGAGCAAUCCUACAAACCCGGAUACAGGAGUUAUUUUCACUUAAAACAAACAAGCAAAAACAAAAACAAAAACCCGAUUCCUGCCCCUUCCCCUGUGCCUAUAAUAAAGCCAUGACUCAGUGCAGCUG